UACGUAGGUGGCAAGCGUUGUCCGGAUUUACUGGGCGUAAAGCGCGCGCAGGCGGACUGAUCAGUCUGGGGUGAAAUCUCCCGGCUCAACUGGGAGCGGUCCCUGGAUACUGUCAGUCUUGAGAGACCUAGAGGAGAGCGGAAUUCCCGGUGUAGUGGUGGAAUGCGUAGAUAUCGGGAAGAACACCAGUGGCGAAAGCGGCUCUCUGGGGGUUUUGCUGACGCUGAGGCGCGGAAAGCGUGGGGAGCGAACCGG
rnacentral:rRNA from 1 species